rnacentral:tRNA from 2 species
GCCCGCCUAGCUCAAUUGGUCAGAGCGUCAGACUUUUAGGCACUGCUGUGCUGUGUAGUUAUCUGAAAGUUGCGGGUUCGAGUCCCGCGGUGGGCU